CGGCCGCCCCCAAACGGUAACAGCUCAAAAUGCUGUCCUUUUGCAUCAAUGUUAUUAUCCAUAAACCUCUCUGGGAGAAACACUUCAGGGUCUUUCCAGGUAUCGGGAUCACGCCCGAUAGCCCAUACAUUUACAUGAAGCCGUGUCUUGACAGGAAUUGUGUAGCCGUUGAUCUCGAAUUCAGACAUUGCUUCUCUUGGGAGGAGGAUAGGUGUUGGAGGGUGUAACCUCCACGUUUCUUUGAUCACCAUUUUGAGGUACUCAAGCUGAUCUGUGUCAUGGAAGCUGAUUCUUUCUUUGUUCUUGAUUUGGCUUCUGAUUUCAGAUUGAACUUUUUUCAUCACUCGUGGAUUCUUCGCGAGUUCUGCCAUCGCCCAUGUCAUGGUUAUUGCAGAAGUAUCGAUUCCUGCUAGCAGAACAUUCUGUAACAAGAACAUAUCAACAUUAAAUUUCAAAAUUUUCCUACAAUUGGAUUGUGAAUCUAUGGUUAGUUUACCAUCAAGAUUGCUUUGAUAUGGUUUCUAGUGAGCUUGUCAUUUCCAAGAACAGCUUCUUCUUUCUCCAACCUCAACAACAAGUCCACGAAGUCUUCACUACCUUCUUCCUUGUCCUGUUUAUGGAGAUCAAACAUUUGUUCAUAAAAGGCAUCAAGAUCUCUCAUGCUUGUCUCUCUCCGACCUCGCAAACCUGUAAGCCUGUCAAUGAUCCAUCCGACAUACGGAAUGAAAUCUGAAGCAGAAAAGCUUCCCAACAUCUCGAGCGCCUCACGGACUAUUUUAUUGAAUCUGUCACUGUUGAGGACAGUACCCUCAAAAUUCACACUAAACGCUGUCCUGCAUACUACACUUACAGUUAAAGCAAGAAAUGUCUUGUUCAAGUUAACCGGAGACUUCUGAGAGGCUGAUUCUGCGAUUGAAUAGAUCAGUUUCUUGACCUCCUCAUCCUUCAUGGGUUGAAUCGAGUGAACUUGUUUAGCAUUGAAGAGUUCCUGAACAGCGAGCUUCCUUACUUCUUUCCAGUAAUCAUCAUAAGGUGAGAAAGCUAUGUCCAGAUAGUUGUAAGAGAGCUCUCUUGGCCCUAAAGAAUGAAUCAAGAUUCAAGAAAUUCAAAAUUCAAGAUUCAAUAUUAUAAAAAGUGUUGAUCAAACUUGAUGAAACAUAAAGGCUUGAGGCCCAAGAAACUUAUAAACAAGUCGGUUUAUAAGUCGGUGUAUUUGUGAUCUUAUCUUAAAUGUGUUUAGGGUUAUGUUUUAGUAUAAAUAGAGGUGCCAAGUUUGUGGCUAACCCUAUGAGUUGUUUUGAGAUUAAGAAAGAUUGUGUAACCUUUGUUUUGAGUUAGUUUCAAAGGUAAUAAGAGGAGUGGUUCUUAUAAACACAAAGUCUUGAUCAUUAGGGUUUGAUUCUUAGUUCUUAAUUCAAUAAAAAGGUGAGAAAGCAAUCAAUCAAGAUUCAAGAUUCAGGAUUCAAGAUUCAAGAUUCAAGAUUCAAGAUUCAAGAUUCAAGGGUUUUGUUGAACAGAGGAACAGAAAUUUUAAAUUGUAGUACCUGCCAUGCCCGGACGACUACAACAAUGGAGGUCAUGGAUUUUCAAAGCUUGUUUUGCUGUUUCGGAGGUAGAAACUAUGACUGUUGGCACACUUCCAAGCUUCAAAAGCAUCACAGGAUCAUACUUUUUGGAGAGACUCCAUAGAGACUGAUGUGGUAAUUCUCCAAGCUGAUGCAAGUUUCCGAUGAUCGGAAAGCCUGGUGGAGACGGUGGUGUCCGUUGGUAAUUCCUCCGCUUCUUGUGGUUGAACACGGCUACAAUAAUACAGAUGAAGAAGAAAAGUGAGAGAAGCCAAAUGUUAGGCAUUUCUUAUUCUAUUGCAGCUAAAGGAACUCCAUAAGGGGUCGUCUAUAUUAUAUUACUGUCUUCAAUUAUUUUAAAUAUAUAUUCUCUGUAACGUUAACUUAAUUUUAUAUUCAAAAAAACUAUUUUUUGUCUUUGAAAAGUUGGCAGAAGUUAAUUGGAUAAUAUCAAGAACUAACCAUAGAAGACUCGAAGAUUAACUGACACUAUUAAACACUGUUUGGUCAAUGAUUUUUUAUUGUUUUUAAUUUGUUUAAUUUUCAUUCUUCUCUCUCCUUGCCUCUUUCUUGGACGAAGUGCUUCAUCAUGAAAUUGACAUGAACAAAAUUUUUAAUGGAGAAAUAAAAUAAAAUCAGAAUUAAACCAAAUUUCAAUAAACCAUUGUUGUGGAAAAAAGGUGAUCUAAACUCAACAAAUUAUUUAAUUAAGACAAAACAAACUCAACAAAAUCUCUUGCAUUUUUUUUUGAAUACUAGGAGGUUCUGGGCCAAAGCCUGUAAUCUCUCCAGAUCCGAAACCACAUCAUGUAAUAUUAGUUUUCUCCCAAACGUCGCUUGAACCGGCGACCUCUAAGCUUCGCCUAGGGUUUCAACAAAAUCUCUUGCAUUGGAUUGGAAUAAAACAUUGCUAGUUUAAUUCAUAUGGCUCCAUCUGAUUAAAAAGAAGAAGAAGAAGAAGCAAAUUACACACUUCAGUGAUCGUUACUUUUUUGGAUUCAUAUAACAUUGACAUCAUCUUUUAUAGCUAUGCAUAGGGAAAUGAAUUAUUCAUGUUCUUAACAUAUUUUUAAAUAACAUUGACAUCGUUUUAAUAUUUUGUGUAGUGAAACGCUAUAUUCUGAUUUUUAGCCAUUGCGCGAAGAGACGCCUCUAGCCCAUUUGAAAAAUAUUAUGGUCGUCAUUUCUUAUAGCAAAAUGACAUAUUAUUAUUUGUAUAGCUUUGUGUCAACCCAACAUUUUUCUUCUUCUGAGACUUAGCAUGCUUUAAAUCUAGUGCUUCUCCGACUUUUUAUACUAAAUUUAUUUGACCAAAUAGUGAAUUUGUAAGCGUCUUUUUCUGCUUGGAUCAUGGUACUGAUUUACACGUCCAUAUAAGAUAAUAGAUUCAAAAUUUCAAACACAUUUUCUUGUUAGGUCUUAGCUUGAUGUUCAAUGUUUGUGAACAAAUCUUGUGAAAGAGAAAAAAUGAAGAGUUGCAACCAUGUGAUCAUACAAGACCAUCUCAUCUGGGAACCAAAUUCAACCGAUUAGAAUCUUGAGAGCGCAAAUUACAAAAUCGUAAUGCGUUAAUCAGUUGUUUUAAAAAGAAGAUGUUCUUUUAUUUUAUUCCGUCUUAUAAAACAUCAAACGAAAAUGAGAUUUUGUUUUGUCUUUUUGUUCCUUGUGAUGAACGUUAGCUUAAGGAUCUAGAUACUUCGUGGGGACAAGUAGAAGCUCGUUUUUCUUGUUGACAGUGAGUCCGGGAGCUUCUUCCAUGUCGAUAUCUUCAACCUUCAUGCCUUCUGGUAACUUCCAGUCAAAAUGAUACAACAGAUUAGCCAGACCAAACUCUACCAGUGUUGUCCCCAUAUAAACGGCAGGACACAUUCUCCGGCCGCCCCCAAACGGUAACAGCUCAAAAUGCUGUCCUUUUGCAUCAAUGUUACUAUCCAUAAACCUCUCUGGAAGAAACACUUCAGGGUCUUUCCAGGUAUUGGGAUCACGCCCGAUAGCCCAGACAUUUACAUGAAGCCGUGUCUUGACAGGAAUCGUGUAGCCGUUGAUCUCAAAUUCAGACAUUGCUUCUCUUGGGAGCAAAAGAGGUGUUGUAGGAUGUAAUCUCCAUGUUUCUUUGAUAACCAUUUUGAGGUACUCGAGCUGAUCUGUGUCAUGGAAGCUGAUUCUUUCUUUGUUCUUGAUUUGGCUUCUGAUUUCAGAUUGAACUUUUUUCAUCACUCGCGGAUUCUUCGCGAGUUCUGCCAUCGCCCAUGUCAUGGUUAUUGCAGAAGUAUCGAUUCCUGCUAGCAGAACAUUCUGUAACAAGAACAUAUAAACAUUAAAUUUUCAAAUUUUUCUUACUAUUGAAUUGUGAAUCUAUGAUUUAGUUACCAUCAAGAUUGCUUUGAUAUGGUUUCUAGUGAGCUUGUCAUUUCCAAGAACAGCUUCUUCUUUCUCCAACCUCAACAGCAAGUCCACAAAGUCUUCGCUACCAUCUUCCUUUUCUUGUUUAUGCAGAUCAAACAUUUGUUCAUAGAAGGCAUCAAGAUCUCUCAUGCUUCUCUCUCUCCGUCCUCGCAAACCUGUAAGCCUGUCGAUGAUCCACCCGACAUACGGAAUGAAAUCUGAGGCAGAAAAGCUUCCCAACAUCUCGAGCGCCUCACGGACUAUUUUAUUGAAUCUGUCACUAUUGAGCACAGUUCCUUCAAAAUUGACACUAAACGCUGUCCUGCAUACCACACUAACAGUUAAUGCAAGAAAUGUCUUGUUCAAGUUGAUCGGAGUCUUAUGAGAAGCUGAAUCCGUGAUUGAAUAGAUCAGUUUCUUGACCUCCUCGUCCUUCAUGGGUUGAAUCGAGUGAACUUGUUUAGUAUUGAAGAGUUCUUGAACAGCGAGCUUCCUAACUUCUUUCCAAUAAUCAUCAUAAGGAGAGAAAGCAAUGUCCAGAUAGUUGUAAGAGAGCUCUCUUGGCCCUAAAGAAUGAACCAAGAUUCAAGAUUCAAGAAAAUUUCAAAAUUCAAAAUUCAAGAAAAUUCAUAAUUCAAGAUUCAAGAAAAUUCAUAAUUCAAGAUUCAAGAUUCAAUAUUAUCAAAAGGUGAGAAAGCAAUCAAUCAAGAUUCAAGAUUCAAGAAGAUUCAAGAUUAAAGACUUAAGGGUUUUGUUGGAACAGAUAAACAAAUAUGUAAAUUUAGUACCUGCCAAGCCUGGACGACUACAACAAUGGAGGUCAUGUAUUUUCAAAGCUUGUUUUGCUGUUUCGGAGGAAGAAACUAUGACUGUUGGGACUCUUCCAAGCUUCAAAAGCAUCACCGGACCAUACUUUUUGGAGAGUCUCCAUAGAGACUGAUGUGGUAAUUCUCCGAGCUGAUGCAGGUUUCCGAUGAUCGGAAAGCCAGGAGGAGACGGUGGUGUCCGUUGAUAACUCCUCCGCUUCUUGUGGUUGAAAACGGCUACAAGAAUACAGAUGACGAAGAGAAGUGACAGAAGCCAAAUGAUAGGCAUUUCUUCUUAUUUUAUUGCAGCUAAAGCAACUCCAUAAGUGUCGUUUAUAUAGUACAAUAGUACAUUGCUGUCUUCAAUUAUUUUAAAUAUAUAUUCUCUGUAACGUUAACUUAGUUUUAUAUUCGAAAGAAAUAUCUUUUGUCCUUGAAAAGUUUGUAAAAGUUAAUUAGUGUACUCUAAAACAAAUAAUACAUACGUAAUUUACAUGGUUUUAUUUAUUAAAACUACCCACGUUAUUUAUGUUUAUUGGAAAUUUUAAAUAAAAAACUUUACAGCAAUAGAGAAAUUAUUAAAAAUAAAAAACUAUGCCAGAGAGAUAAAGAGAAACACCGUUGACGAAGUCAAACACGAACAACGACCGUCGAUUUGAGUCAGCUCUAAUCUCAACCACACGAUCUUCUCAUCUCUGGCACAAGUAGGAGUUCAUUUUUCUUGUUCACAGUGAGUCCAGGAGCUUCGUCCAUGUCGAUAUCUUCGACCGUCGUGCCUUCUGGUAACUUCCAAUCAAAAUGAUACAAGAGAUUAGCUAGACCAAACUCCACCAUUGUUGUCCCCAUGUAUAUUGCAGGACAGAUUCUCCGACCGCCACCAAACGGUAACAACUCAAAGUUCUGUCCCUUUGCAUCAAUGUUAUUAUCCAUAAACCUCUCCGGGAGAAACACUUCAGAGUCUUUCCAAGUAUCAGGAUCACGACCAAUAGCCCAAACAUUCACAUGAAGCCGAGUCUUGACAGGAAUCGUGUAGCCGUUGAUCUCAAAUUCAGACAUUGCUUCUCUUGGAAGCAGAAGUGGUGUUGUAGGAUGUAAUCUCCAUGUUUCUUUGAUCACCAUUUUCAAGUACUCGAGCUGAUCUGUGUCUUCGAAGCUGAUCAUUGAUCUGUUGUUCCCCAUUUGAGUUCUUAUUUCAGAUUGAACUUUCUUCAUCACUCGUGGGUUUCUUGCAAGCUCUGUCAUUGCCCAUGUCAUUGUUAUCGCAGAAGUAUCGAUUCCCGCAAGAAGAACAUCCUGUGUCAUUCAAAACAUAUCAGAAUCUUUGCUACUACUACUACUACUACAUAAAGGAUUGCUAGCUAAAUCUUGUUUUAGUUACCAGCAAGAUUGCUUUGAUAUGGUUUCUUGUGAGUUUAUCAUUUCCAAGAACUGCUUCUUCUUUCUCCAACCUUAAGAGCAAGUCCACAAAAUCUUCACUCCCCUGUUUCUUUCCCUGUUUAUGAAGAUCAAACAUUUGUUCAAUGAAUGCAUUGAGAUCUCUCUUGCUUCUUUCUCUCCUUCCAUGCAAACCCGUCAACAAAUCGAUGAUCCAUCCGACAUACGGAAUGAAAUCCGAGGCAGAAAAGCUUCCCAACAUCUCGAGCGCCUCCCGGACUAUUUUAUUGAAUCUGUCAUUGUUGAGUACAGUUCCUUCAAAACUCACCCCAAAAGCUGUCCUGCAUACUACACUUACAGUUAGAGCAAGACACUUAUUGUUCAAGUUAACUGGAGUCUUCUGAGAAGCUGAUUCGGCGAUCGAAUCGAUCAGUUUCUUGACCUCCUCGUCCUUAAUCGGUUGAAUCGAGUGAACUUGUUUAGUACUGAAUAGUUCUUGAACACAGAGCUUCCUUACUUCUUUCCAAUAAUCAUCAAAAGGUGAGAAAGCAAUGUCUAGAUAGUUGUAAGAAAGCUCUCUUGGUCCUAAAUAACGAUCAAGAUUCAAGAUUCAAGAUUCAUGGGGUUUCUUGAAUUCUAUGAAACAGAGGAACAGAAAUUGAAACUAUAGUACCUGUCAAGCUUGGACGAGUACAACAAAGGAGAUCAUGAACUCUCAGAACUUGUCUUGCUGUAUCCGAGGAAGAAACAACGACUGUUGGGACUCUUCCAAGCAUCAAAUGCAUCACCGGACCAUACUUCUUUGAGAGUUUCCAUAGAGACUGAUGUGGUAAUUCUCCGAUCUGGUGUAAGUUUCCGAUGAUUGGAAAGCCAGGAGGAGACGGUAACUGCCGAUAUUCCCGAUGUUUCUUGUGGUUGAAAACGGCGAAAAGAAUACAGACGAGGAAGAUAAGUGGAAGAAGCCAAAUGUAAGCCAUUUCUGAUUUGAUGGCCGAUGAAGGGAAGGCUCUCUUGAGUUAAGCUUGAAGAGUUAGUUAACUUGAGGGAUGAGUUAACAAAAUAAAAGGAUAUAGUUUAAGAGAUUUGGAAGUUAUCCAAAAGUGUUUAGGAGUUAUCUAAAUGCUAAACCUAGUUAGACUUAGAUUAGGUCUUUAGGUUUUCUAUAUAAAGAGAUACCAAAGUUGUGGUAAUCCUUAAGAGUUGUUUUUGAGUUUAAGAGUUUGAGAAAGAGAGAUUGUAAGAUUGAGAGCUUGAGAUUAAUAAAGAGAGUUAUUCUUUAUUCUUGUGUUCUUAAACUUGUUUGAUUCAAUAAUUGGUAUCAGAGCAAGAACGUGAAAGCAAUUCACGAUGUCAGAUUCGUCAGGAGAAGAAGAUGAGAAACCAAACACGAAAACACCUUCAAAAGAAAUCGGAUCCUCUGCCAUAAAGUAUCCGAUGCUUACUUCCUCCAAUUACACUGUUUGGGCUAUGCGGAUGAGAAUUGCGCUUAGGGUAAAUAAGGUGUGGAAGACCAUAGAUCCGGGAGAUCCAGAUGAAGAGAAGAACGAUGUGGCAAUAGCCUUAUUGUUCCAAUCCAUACCAGAAGCCUUGAUCUUACAAGUUGGAGACCACAACACUGCAAAAGAAACUUGGGACGCAAUAAAAGGAAGACAUGUUGGAGCUGAAAGAGUUCGAGAAGCUAGGUUACAAACUUUGAUGGCGGAAUUUGAUAGAAUCAAGAUGAAGGAGACAGAUUCAAUAGAUGCUUUUUCAGGAAAACUUUCGGAGAUCUCCUCUACUGCAGCAUCCCUUGGAGAAACCAUUGAAGAACCGAAACUUGUGAAAAAGUUUCUCAAAAGUUUACCUAGGAAGAGAUAUAUACAAAUCACUGCAGCUCUUGAAUAGGUUCUUGACCUGAACAAAACAACUUUCGAAGACAUUGUUGGACGAUUAAAAGUGUAUGAAGAAAGGAUUGUUGAUGAAGAAGAAGAGCAACACGAAGAUCAUAAUAAGCUGAUGUAUGCGAGUACGGACUCACAAGCAACCUAUACUGAAGGAUACAGAGGAAGAGGCAGAGGAGGUCGGUUUAAUUGGUGAGGUAGAGGCCGCGGGCGUUUUAACAACUAUCAAAACGGAUCAUACAGACAAAAGGAAAGAGAUGCGUCAAUGAUAACUUGUUACCGAUGUGAUAAAUUAGGGCAUUAUGCAUCGGAUUGUCCCGAUAGGUUGCUUAAGCUACAAGAAACUGUUGAAAAGAAGGAUGAUGCAACACAUGAAGCUGAGGAAUUAAUGAUGCAUGAGGUGGUUUAUCUUAAUGAAAACAAGGUAAAGCCAAGUUGCUUUGAAGCUGACCUAGACUCAACUAAUGUGUGGUAUCUCGAUAAUGGUGCGAGUAACCACAUGAGUGGGAAUCGAUCCUUCUUCUUAGAUCUUGAUGAGACAAUCGUGGGAAAGGUACGUUUUGGAGAUGAUUCACGCAUUAAUAUCAGAGGAAAAGGAUCAAUUCAGUUUGCAUUCGAAGAUAGUAAUAAAAAGGUACUCAAAGUCUUGAAGAACAUAUACUAUAUACCCGAUCUCAAGAGUAAUAUAGUAAGUCUUGGUCAAGCCACAGAAGCAGGAUGUGAGGUACGUAUGAAGGAAGAGUUCUUGACACUCUAUGACCGGUCUGGACACUUACUGGUAAAGACUACAAGAUCAAGAAAUCGUUUAUACAAAGUAACUUUACAUGUGGAGAAUCCAAAUUGUCUACAAUUGAUCACAUCGACCGAGUCUAACUUGUGGCACUCACGGUUAGGACACACUAAUCUGGAGACAAUGAAGAAGAUGAUCAACAAAGAACUUGUGACCGGUGUACCAAAGCUUAUAGUUGAAAAAGAAACUUGUGUGUCGUGUUUACUUGGAAAACAGACUAGAAAAUCCUUUCCCCAAGCAACCACCUAUCGAGCUGAUCAAAGACUUGAGCUUAUCCAUGGGGACCUUUGUGGACCUAUCACACCUUCCACUCCGGCUCAGAAACGGUAUGUCUUUGUCCUCAUUGAUGAUCACUCCCGUUACAUGUGGACAAUCCUCUUGAGAAAGAAGAGUGAGGCUUUUGAAAAGUUCAAGAAAUUCAAAGUACGUGUGGAACAAGAAACAAGAGAAAAAAUCAAGACACUACGUACGAAUAGAGGAGGAGAAUUUGUGUCAAAUGAAUUUCAAGCCUACUGUGAUGAGCAUGGAAUCAUGAGACACUUGACUGCGCCCUACUCUCCUCAGCAAAAUGGUGUUGUUGAGAGACGUAAUAGGACUCUCUUGGAGAUGACUAGGAGUAUUCUAAAGCACACGGGUUUACCAAAUUUUCUAUGGGGAGAGGCUGUUAGACAUUCUACCUAUUUGAUCAAUAGGAUUGCAACAAGAUCUUUGGUACAAUCAACCCCAUAUAAAGCGUUUAAUGGGAGAAAACCAAAUCUUGAGCAUCUUAGGGUAUUUGGUUGUGUUUGUUAUGCAAGAACAGAAGCUGUGGGAAGAAAGAAACUUGAUGACAGGUCAAGAACAUUGAUACAUUUAGGAACAGAGCCCGGGACCAAAGCAUAUCGAUUGUUUGAUUCUGAAACCAAAAGGAUAGUGGUGAGCCGUGAUGUCAUAUUUGAUGAGAGUAAAGGGUGGAGCUGGAAAAAUAAAGAAAGAGAGGAUCACAAAGAGUCUGAGACAUUCUCUAUUAGCUUGGGAGAGUUUGGUAACAAAGGCUUAAGAGAAACUGAUACUCUUGAAACAGAGGAAGACACGCGGAUUACUCAAACUACAAGUGAAAGUAUCGUAGAAGUGGAAGACGAUACAGAGGAAGAAGAAGAUAGUGAAGCUAUGAACAAUGAAGAUGGUGAUGAUGAAAGUGAACAAGCACCACAACCGCAGCUUAGAAGAUCGGGUAGAACCAUUGUGAAGUCGGCAUAUCUAAAUGACUAUGUUCUUAUGGCUGAAACAGAGUGUGAAAGACUCUUGACAGUGAUCAACGAUGAACCGUGGGAUUUUAACGAAGCCAGAGAACUCAAAGUAUGGACAGACGCAUGCAAAGAAGAGCUUUCAUCGAUAGAAAAGAACAAAACAUGGAACUUGGUUAGUCUUCCCAUUGGUGUUAAGGCAAUUGGCUUGAAAUGGGUCUUUAAAAUUAAAAGGAACGCCGAUGGAAGUAUUAACAAGCACAAGGCACGACUCGUAGCCAAAGGAUAUGUUCAGAGACAUGGCAUUGAUUUUGAUGAAGUGUUUGCUCCAGUGGCACGUAUUGAAACUAUUCGCUUUAUCAUCGCAUUGGCGGCUUCUAAUGGUUGGGAAAUACAUCACCUGGAUGUUAAAACCGCGUUCUUGCACGGUGAGUUGAAAAAAGAAGUCUAUGUUAGUCAACCAGAGGGAUUUGUAGUCUUGGGAAGUGAAAACAAAGUUUAUAAGUUGAAUAAAGCUCUUUACGGCUUAAGACAAGCACCUAGAGCUUGGAAUGACAAGUUAAAUGCUAUCCUCAGAGAAUUCAAGUUUCAUAGGUGUUCUAAAGAACCGUCAUUGUAUCAAAGAGAAGAGAAAGGACAUUUACUUGUCGUGGCCGUGUAUGUAGAUGAUCUACUUGUUGCAGGAUCUUCCUUGAAGUUGAUACGAGAGUUUAAAAGAGAAAUGGGAACCAAGUUUGAGAUGAGUGAUCUUGGUAAGCUGACAUACUAUCUUGGAAUCGAAGUGCAUCAACAUGAGAAUGGUAUUAGUCUAAAGCAAGAGAGGUAUGCAUCAAAAAUACUAGGAGAAGCAGGGAUGGAAAGUUGUAAUCUCUCACAUAUCCCAAUGGAGAUGAACCUACAACUCUCUAAAUCUCAGAGUGAGAAGAGUAUCAGUGAAAAAGAUUACAGAAGAAGCAUAGGAUGCCUCCGGUACUUGAUACACACACGCCCGGAUCUAUCUUACAGUGUUGGAGUCUUAAGUAGAUAUAUGCAGGAGCCUAAAGAGUCACAUGGUGCAGCCUUAAAGCAAGUCUUGAGAUAUGUACGUGGAACCACUUCACUUGGCCUUUUCUUCAAGCGGACAGAAAAGGUGAAGCUGGUAGGUUAUAGUGAUAGCUCACAUAAUGUUGAUUUGGACGAUGGAAGAAGCACAACAGGCCAUGUAUUCUUUCUUGAUGAUUGUCUGAUUACUUGGUGCUCACAAAAGCAAGACACAGUCGCAAUGUCUUCAUGUGAAGCAGAAUUCAUGGCGGCUACGGAAGCAGCAAAACAAGCUAUAUGGCUCAAGGAAUUGAUGAGUGAAAUAUUAAGCAUCAAAGGCGAGAAAGUUUUGUUGAGGAUUGACAACAAGUCAGCUAUAGCUUUGACUAAGAAUCCGGUGUUUCAUGGGAGAAGCAAACACAUUCAUAGAAGGUACCAUUUCAUUAGAGAGUGUGUGGAAAAUGAGCAAGUGGAGGUAGAACAUGUUCCCGGUAAUGAGCAAAGGGCGGAUAUUCUAACCAAACCACUUGGAAGAAUAAAAUUUAAGGAGAUGAGAAGUCUCAUUGGAGUUCAAGAUGUGAAGAAGGAUAACUUUAAGCUUAAGGGGGAGAAUGUUGAGUUAAGCUUGAAGAGUUAGUUAACUUGAGGGAUGAGUUAACAAAAUAAAAGGAUAUAGUUUAAGAGAUUUGGAAGUUAUCCAAAAGUGUUUAGGAGUUAUCUAAAUGCUAAACCUAGUUAGACUUAGAUUAGGUCUUUAGGUUUUUUAUAUAAAGAGAUACCAAAGUUGUGGUAAUCCUUAAGAGUUGUUUUUGAGUUUAAGAGUUUGAGAAAGAGAGAUUGUAAGAUUGAGAGCUUGAGAUUAAUAAAGAGAGUUAUUCUUUAUUCUUGUGUUCUUAAACUUGUUUGAUUCAAUAGGCUCUACAAAUGUAUAUGCACAUUUCUGUCUUCAAUUAUUUUCUUACUGUGGGUAAUCCCGCAACGUGUACAUAAUAUUCAUUUUAAAUAAUUUUAUUAAAAUAAUACUAUUUGAUGAAGAAAAAGUACUUGCAAAUGUUUAUGAUCCUGAUGAAGAAGAAGAAGAAGAAGAAGAUGUAAUGGAAGUAGAAGAGGUAGAGCGUAGAGUUUCUCCAGAGCCUUCCAUACCCCCUGAGGCAGAGGCAGAGAGUAGUACCUGUUUCGUCCUUCCCGAAAAGGUUGGUACAUGCGUCUUCUGGGACGUCCAGGAUUACCCAGUUCCUCUAGGUCUGCAGCCUGAAACGUUUAUUCAGAAUAUCAAGACAGCUCUUGGAACAGAGGAUGACAUCUUAAUCUUGGCUUAUGUUGCUGAUGAGAAAUCUUUCCCGGAUAGCUAUCGUACCCAUUCCAGAUUCACCUCAGUUUCAGCAGACAAAUAUACAAGACUUACUGUGAUGAUGGUGGACAUUAUUUGCUGGGUUGUGAAAAAUCGUUCUGCGUGCCCAAACCUGUUGGUAAUCGCGAAUGCCAGUGUAGAAGAUCGACAAUUCUGGCCAUUUCUUCUAGGUUUGGGAUAUAGAGGUUUCAAUAUUUUUGCAACAAUCCCUGAUACGGACUUACCUGAUGAUAAAACUAAGACGGCGGAAAGGCUUAUGUUUAACAAGUCCUUAUUGUCUUGGAAAAACCUUUCAUGUAAACGAAAGCGUAAGGGCAUAGAGGAUACUGUUUCUAGUUCUGAUGACUAACUUCUGUGCGCAGCAGGUCUCAACUACCCCCUGGUUUGACAACAAUGUUUUAUCAUUUCUAUGUACCUCUGAAAACAUUGAGCUUUCAUCUUUGUUAAACUCUUUCUUCUGUUGAACGCUUUGCUCUGUUAAACUCUUUGUUCUGUUAAACUUUUGCUGUUUUAAAAAAAAAAAAAAAAUUUAUUUUAGAUAAAAAAAUAUCAUAAUUUCAUGAUUAAGUGUAGGUAAAAAAAUUUUGUUCAAGUUUCUCUCUUUAGAUGUGUUUUUGAAGAUAACCAUAAGGUGAGCCCUUCAUCAUAUAUGAGCCAAUACAGAGGAAAAAAAACAGAGAGAGAAGCAGAGCACUCUGUUUAGGAGAGCUAAUGUUUUCUCUGUUGAAACAUGUUGUUUUGUAAGGUUGAGUGGAAUUUAGGAAUUGAUUAGUGACGAGUCAAAGAUCUAUUGAGUAACAAAUGAACAAAACAUUUAGUUUUAUUUAGUACAACCGAUACCAUGAAAAGCUUAUUUUACUUGAUCAAUGAUUUAAAAACUUAACAGGAAGAAGUGAAAGCUCAUUUUUCUUGCUCGCAUUGAGUCCAGGAGAUUCUUCCAUGUCGAUGUCUUCAACCACCUUGCCUUCUGGUAGUUCCCAAUCAAACAGAUACAACAUAUUGGCAAGACCAAACUCCACCAUUGUUGUCCCCAUGUACAUGGCAGGACACAUUCUCCUACCACUUCCAAAUGGUAAUAACUCAAAGUUUUGUCCUUUUGCAUCAAUGCUACUAUUAGCAAACCUCUCUGGAAGAAACUCCUCCGGGUCUUUCCAUGUAUCGGGAUCACGCCCGAUAGCCCAUACAUUAACAUAAAGUCUUGUCUUGGCUGGAAUCGUAUAGCCGUUGAUCUCAAAUUCGGACAUUACUUCUCUUGGGACCAGAAGUGGUGCUGGAGGAUGUAGCCUCCAUGUUUCAUUGAUCACCAUUUUCAGGUAAUGGAGCUGAUCUAUGUCAUCCAAGGUGAUCAUUGACUUGCCCCCAAUUUGAUUUCUGAUUUCGGAUUGAACUUUCUUCAUUACUCGCGGGUUUCUCAUAAGUUCUGUCAUGGCCCAUGUCAUUGUUAUUGCAGAAGUGCCGAUGCCUCCAAGAAGAACAUUCUGUAAUAAGACCAUCAAAAAUUUACAAUCUUCAUGUAUUAUAAUAUAAUCCUAGAAUUUAAAGGCAAAUCUUUGUAUAGUUACCAUUAAGACUGCUUUGAUAUGGUUUCUUGUGAGCUUGCCAUAUCCAAGAACAGUUCCUUCUUUCUCCAACUUCAAGAGCAAGUCCACAAAAUCCUCAACUCCUUCUUUAUUCCCCUGUUUAUGUAAAUCAAACAUUUGUUCAUAGAACGCAUCAAGACCCCUCACACUUCUCUCUCUUUGCCCUUGUAAACCCGUGAGCCAGUCGAUGAUCCAACCGACAUUUGGAAAAUAAUCCGAGGCAGAGAAGCUCCCCAAGAACAAAAAUGCAUCAUGGAUUAACUUGUCGAAGUUGUCACUAUUAAGCACAGUUCCUUGGAAACUAACACCAAAUGCUGACUUGCAUAUCACGCCUACAGUUAAAGAAGCUAACUUCUCACUCAAGUUAACCGGAGUUUUCUGAGCAGCUGAUUCGGAGAAUGAAUUCAUCAGUUUCUUGACUUCCUCGUCUUUUAUGGGUUGAAUCAAGUGAACUCUGUUAACACUGAAGAGUUCUUGGACACAAAUCCUCCUUAAUUCUUUCCAGUAAUCAUUAAAAGGAGAGAAAACUAUGUCCAGAUAGUUGUAAGAGAGCGCUCUUGGUCCUAAAUAAAUCAUUAGGUUUUGUUAAAUCCUAUAAACAAAACUUUUAUAUGGGUUGAGUGAGAGUUACGGUACCUGCUAAGCUUGGACGGCUACAACAAUGGAGGUCAUGGAUUUUCAAAGCUUGUUUUGCUGUUUCAGAGGAAGAAACUACGACCGUAGGGAUACUUCCAAGCUUCAAAAGCAUGACAGGACCAUACUUUUUGGAGAGACUCCAUAGAGAUUGAUGUGGUAAUUCUCCGAGCUGAAGUAAGUUUCCGAUGAUCGGAAAGCCCGGUGGAGACGGUGGUUUCCGUUGAUGUUGCCGCCGCUUCUUGAGUUUUAAAGCGGCAAGAAAAAUACAAGAGAGAAAGAGAAGUGAGAGAAACCAAAUUGUAGCCAUUUGUUGAUUUGAUGACUGAUGAAGCGACAGCUAUAUAAAUAAGCUCAGUGUUGUCUUCAAUUAUUUUCUGACAUUAGCUUUAUUAUUAAACUUUUGAAAAGAAAUAAUAAGUUAACUUCAUUUGCAUGUAUAAAUAAUUAUUUAUAAGAUGAAUAUGGGUGGGCUUGUGCUAUUUAUAGUUUUCUCUAGUGUUUUACGACGGAAAUAUAAAUGGUUUAUAUUUAUAUAAAUAGUUUAUUUGAGUAACUAAACAAAAUAUUUUAGUUGAGUAACCAAAAAUAGUAAAAUACACAUCUAGAUGAAGUUUUGGUCACAAAAUUUCAGGUGAAAAGAGAUCAUCAAACUACUCUAGCUACCAAUAGUAUACCUCCUUGAUUGAUUUCUUCUAUACAAACAAUUCAACAUCGUUUAAUUAAUCUCUAUAUGUUGAAAAAAAUAACAAUUCGAAAUCGUUAAUAAAAGUAUUAUUUCAGAAGAAAAAUGAUAAAUAGAGAACUGGUUAGGUAAUCCAAGAGAUUCUGACAAUCACAUGAAUCACAUGAAUCACAAGAUAUUAUAUGUCGGGUACCCUUAUAUGUCAUCAUAUUUUCUUCUUUAUUCCCAUAAAAAAUUUAGUGGGAUAAAUAAUAUUGAAUCAUAAUGAAAAAAUACGUCAUGAUAUUGUUUUCUAGUUAGCUACUUUUUUCUAAAAUUUAACUACUAUCAUAGAACUUAUACUUUAUAAUGAAUCAAUUACAGAUUUUGCCAUCUUUAUAAAGUUGCAUUUGUUGAUUAUACUAUUUUUUGAAUAGUUUGUGAAUUUAUAGAAAAUGUGUGUUUCUAUCUAUGUAACGUCAAAGUUCAUUAUUAAUCUACUAAAUCAAAUUUUAGUUUGUACAUUUUUAAUUUUAGUUUAGUACAAUAUGUUUAGAAUUUUUUUCUAGUGUUUUUAAUUUUAAUAAGAAUAUAACUUAUUAAAUUAUUUCAUGAAAAUAUAAAUUUAUAGAUUUAAAAAAAUUGAAAAUAAUUUAGUUGAAAUAUAAUAAAAUCUAAAAAAAUAUUAUUAAGAUGAAAACAUAUAUAGGUUUAGUUAUUUUGAUACAACAUACAUCCAGAAACAAAUGCAAAUUAUUAAACACUAAACGAAAAAAAUCUUCAUUUAGAUGUUCUAUAUAUCCAGAUGCACUAUAAAAUUUUUUUUUUUUUUUUAUAACCCAGGUAUCCGGGCCGAAGCCCGACUAGCACCAAGGCUUGAGGCCGGUUUCUUUUUGGGCUGUCCGAACCCAACGAUCAGUUUGUUUCCUGGAGGCCUGCAACCGCCAUAUAAAUACCGCAGUGGCCAACGCUAGCCCUCGAACUGCGGGCAGCAUAUUGGGAUUACCCCCUCAAGUGCCACUAGCCUAACCCACGUUCGUUAUGCACUAUAAAUUCGUAAACGAACAACAUCAUAUGCAUCAGGAUAGAUCAUAUGAAUCCAAAUGUACAAACGAACAGUACCUUAUAUGAAAGGUGUUUUAUAUUAACGCUAGUAGUUAUGGUCGGUUCUAAUCUGUUAUUUUAAGCAAAAUAAAAAGAUUAUAAUUUAUAUAUAUGAAAUAUUGAAAGCAACAAAGAACAUUGUUGGAUUGAAACGACGAGAGACAAUGGAACACAAGAUUAUAGUUUUACUUAUGUAGAAUCGAUGCUACAUUUAAUUUUAUAAUCUCAUGAGUAACUUAGUUUAAGUGAUCAAUGACCUAAAUACUUGACGGGAACAAGCAGAAGCUCAUUUUUUUUGCCCACAGCGAGUCCAGGAGAUUCUUCCAUGUCAAUAUCUUCGACCACCAUACCUUCUGGUAAUUCCCAAUCAAACUGAUAUAGCAUAUUCGCCAGACCAAACUCCACCAUUGUUGUCCCCAUGUACAUUCCAGGACAGAUUCUCCGGCC
rnacentral:lncRNA from 1 species